UGACUUUGUGAUUGUGGUAACUAGUUAUGACGACCCUUAAGUAGUUGUUAGCUUAGCCAGUUAGCUACUUCAGUUAGCUACACCUGUGUUGGAAAGUGGGAUGUUUUUCUGAUGUUGGUUGACAUGAGAUGACACCUCUUUGGUUGUCUAUAGACUGUCAACUGCUAUGGUGUUUUCUAGCUACAAGAACAGAGACCUGAAUUGACUGAAGGUGUGUAUUGUUAGCCUCCUGCCUGGAUGUUAGAGCUGUGAUGGUGGUGUGUCCCCUGCCUUCAUUGUGACUCCUGUCCACCACCUCCGUCUCCCUGCCCAGUGUGUGUGCCACCAUGACCCUGAAUCUUCUCCUGGUCCUGGGGCUCUUUUUGCUGCCUUGUCUGUCAUCCCAUGUUAUCAGCGAGUACUGCGUUAUAGCCAGACAUAAAAUGACAAAUCAAACCCAAUGCUUGGAAGCAUGCUUACUGUAUACGACCUGUGAUCGUUUUGUCUUUUGGAAAGAGAACUACACCUGCUUUUUCUUGAAGUGUCCUAAUGGCACCAACUGCAAUGAUAUCGCCGUCGAUGACCUGAUAAGGAUACAAGAUAAAAACAUCAGUGGUCUUAAGUGUGAAGCUGGACCUACCACUGGGUCUUCAAGUUCCAUAACUUCAUCAGAAAUCUAUCAAAACCCCACUGCUCCUGAAUUGACAGCCAGCAAUAAUGCCAAUCAAAUUACAGACACCUCUGCCCUCAAUGAGACUGACUCUACCUUGCAUUUUCGUGAGGAUAAUGGGCAGGCCCCCAUCUCCACUGCAUUUACUACCAUGACUGCAGCACCCAUGCCAGCCGCUAAGAAUGACACCUUCAUUCCCAGUAAGACUGUUAGCAAUGCCUCCAGAGGAACUACAGUACCUGACAUACCCCUUAAGUCAACAGUCCAAACCUCAGAGACAACCACUUCAGUAAAGCAGGAACCUAGAACUACAACGACUCCCUCAGCCCUGACCUCUCCACCAGCCAAUCCACAGAUGACGACAACAGCAUUAUCAACAACAAAUACCACUACUAUCACCACUGUAGUACCAAUAACAGCAAUGCUGUUAACUACCACCACCACCACAACACAACCAACUACCACCACAACACAACCAACUACCACCACAACACAACCAACUACCACCACAACACAACCAACUACCACCAC